UGCCUUGGGGUAAUGGCAACUCAUCCCCAGAAGGAAUCUUUUCAUGCCAAACAAACUCAUUCUCAUAUUCAAACUUCCUGAGGGUAUCUUCCGAAUUUUCAAUUUCUUUUGUAAAGACAGUUUUCCAUGAAUCCUCCCCUGGCAAUUUCCUUUUCACACUGAUUAAUGCAUUACAAAGAACUCCAAUGGCAACUCCAACUUGGCCAUCAUUCUUUAAACCUUUAGCGAAGUAUGUCUGACUUCGUAAAUCAUGUAGAGCUUUGCAAGAUGACAUAAAUUCCUGCACAGCACAUAGAAAGGAUCCAUAAAGAUAGAGCAACUCCAUGAGGAAGGAGAUAUGCCAUAAAGGGAAAUCAUUCUCUCUCAUCUUCUGUCUGAAUGUGCAUGUGAGGAAGUGCGAGCACAGAAGAAUAUACUUUUAUUUUUCAAAAGGGGGAAGGCUGCAGGGCAUCAUUAGCAGUCCACCACAAACACAUAAAUCAAUUGCAUAUUAAACAUAACAAAAGAAUUCAAUUUUUAUUACUGGACAAACAAAAAAUGCAACCAGUAAAGCAAAUAAUAUAUUUUAGAGAACAUAAUAGAAGCUAAAAGCACCAUUAGCAUGGUAAUUCUGGCACCUAAAAAAGCAUGGAUCAUUGCCCUGUCCUGCUGUGCAUAUAUUUUCCUUAGGAGAAACACUGCAAGUCCUUUAUUAUUCAAGAAUUAUAACUGAAAAAUGAAUGUUUUUGUAGCUCUUUUCGUGUUGUGCACACCCUCACACAAAUUUUACAUACACACAGAACUGAGGUUUAAUAAUUCAAUAAAUUGAGCCCAGUUUUCAGAAUUUUCAAUUCAUUUAUCUUCUCAUUAAAAGGGUUGGAUUAACACUUCAAGUCGAAGCCCAAAAGCUAAUUUAAAUUGGCAUGAAGUCAGUACAAUUCUCUACAUUCAGUUUUGGUUUUGAAAUUGUUCCCAGGUGAUAUAUAUUCAACUUUAAAACUGAAUUUAUCAAAAUAAAUUGCAAUCAUUGUAUGCUUAGAGGAAACCAUAAAUAGUGCGCAAUUUUGCUGGAGUAUUUAAUUCCAUUCAUCGCCUUAUUGAACGUCAUCUAAGCUCAUAUUCAUUCUAUAUGUGUGGUGUCUCUUAACUGAGCUAGCAUACCACGCAAGAAGCAACAUACACAACAGGCCAUACAGCAUCUUAUUGAAAGAGCUGCUUUAUUCAUUCAAAUACCAGGUCUGUAUAGGGGCCAUUACAUUUGAGUUUUCAGUCAAACUUGGAUAUUUUGGCCUCUCCUAGCCAUUUCCAACAUCUUGUGAGAAUCUACAUGUAUUUGAUAUAUGCACAAGACCAUCCACAAGCAAGUAAAUAGUUCCUCAGUUGCAGCAUACAUGCACAUUCCCAUUUCAGCUAACAAUAUGAAUAAGAUAGUUUGGAUUUAACACAUUUAUAUACAUACCAAAAAGCGUGAUGCAAUAGCCUUGUACUCUCCAAUCCCAGAAUUUAAAGCACCAAUUGCUUCACUGAGCAGUUCUGCAACACCAUGGUGCAGCUUUGCCAAAACACCAAACCCUGUAUUUCCUGUUUCUUCAGCCUUUCUUAUGUAUACAGCCUAUCACAUUGUAACAUCAUCAGGUGUCACAGGGAAUUUUAUUCAAAAUAUAUAUCAGUUAACAAAAUUUAAAAUAAAAAAAAAGAAGAAACUGAUAAUGGUGCUAGUUUCCAAGUGGAACAGGGUUACAAAAGACAGGUUGACAACCAAAGGACAGACCUGGGCCUCAGCCAAACAAAUGAGACUAAUAGCAGAAGUCACAGAUGAGGUAGCUUCUGGUGGCUUUUCUGCAGAUAUUGCACUAUGUAAAGAGGGAAGAACCUCAUGAGCUAGAUAAUGAAAGACUCCGGCAGCUUCUCUGAAGAUGAAGGCUGAUUGCUCUGCUGGCAGAAACUCCAAAGCCCUCUCCCUGAGUACUGCUCCAUAAAGGAAAAGGGUAUCAAUUUGAAAAAACUUUGGACCUUUAAGGUUAAAGAAAGACUAUGAGCUAAGAACGCUGCUCCAUUGUAUCUUGAGUAGUGAAGUCCACCGAAUCAUCUGACUACUGUUGUUGACGAUAUCAGCAUGAUAAAUGAAAUUUUCCAAUAAUGGCAGGUAAUGUUCCAGUCUGAGACAUUCCUGCUCAGAACGAGAAGUGGAUCCACCAGACAUUUCUCUUGCAAUAGCUUCUAUGAUUAAGCUUGUUUGAUUAAUGGAGUGCUCAAUAACCCUACGCCUGGAGCUCAACUCUUUCAGAUGCUCCAGAGAUACAGAAUCACGCACAGCAAUUAAAUCUUCAAACACAAUCUUCUUCGUCUUGAGCUUAGCCAAGUCUCGCUAUUGCAACAUCAUAUUUGCCCAUUGCCACACUCAAAGAGAACGGGAUCAGGACCAAUGCCAGGGGACAAAAAAAUCUCGGUUCUCUUUCACAAAACUAUAGAACCGCAUUCAUCUACUGGCGCAUUCUCAUACAAGAAAAUUCCAGAAACACAGAACAACAAUAAGCUAAUGGUUCCAUCCAAGUCUCAUUCAAAUUGGGAGACUUAAGAAGCCCUCAUUAGAUUCAAUUCUUAUAGAUGUAUAUUACAGGAGCUACACAGAAGCAUUCAGCGUUAAUGGUUGUGGGUAGAGAUGUAGAGGUGGCCAACGGGUCGCUUUCAAGUUUUCUCAUUAGUUAUUACCAGGCAUUUGUUGUUUCGUUUCCUUCUCUGCCAAGUUUACAAGAAAAUUUUGGCGAGUUUGGGCGUUCAGAGCUCCUGCGUAGUCGUUAUAAGUCUUAGGUUUCUCAUUCGGGUCGGGCCGGGGUUUUUCGCCAAUUAACAAAUGACAGGGUACAAAACGCACCGUUUUCUACUUUCCUUUCCUCAAAACUUUCCCCCAACUUUCACAAUCCAAAUACCAGAGCCUCAGGCACUCGUGAUUCUCAUUUAAAGUCCUGGUGGUUAUGGUGGUGCUGGUGGUGGGAAACCAACUAAUUGAAAUUGAAAAGAGAAAAAAGAAAUGGAUUAAUUUUCAUUUCAAUUACACAAGCUUGACGAAGCCAAUCUAGCAAGAGAACGCGAAGCUCUUUUCUUCUCCUUUGCUAAUACUGCCUUAUGGCGGAGAAGCAACUGAUCGUGGCCGUUGAAGGCUUCGCGGCCUUGGGCCACCUCUGGCAGACCAUCCUUUCUGAUUACCUUGAAAAGAUUAUCAGCUUGCUUAGUGCAACGAAGUGGCUGGACAAGAGAUGUUGACAU
rnacentral:misc_RNA from 1 species